UUGGCCUGUCGCUGCUACAUGGUAAAGCCCCAAAUUUGCCCCGUCACUGGUACACGGUAAAGCCACAAAUUUGGCCCGUCGCUGCUACAUGGUAAAGCCACAAAUUUGCCCCGUCGCUGCUACUGGGUCAGUAUCCAUCGCAACAGCUGACUUUCACCCACGCCCAAACUAGCAAUGAGCAUGGGCCACAUAUAUCAAAAUUCACGCUUGUGGGAUGGACAGAUGGAAUGGGACAGGCUACAGCAGCAGUCAUAGUUGUUGUAGUAGUAGUAGUAGUAGUAGUAGUAGUAGUAGUAGUAGUAGUAGUUGGAAAGUUUGGUUUAGUCAGCGCAACAUCUGUGGUCAUAUGCCGGAGAGAGACAGGAGGGGAAGGAAUUAUAGGAGAAGGGAACAGACCCCAGGAGACGGGACACAACCCCUGAUUAAUACCUGGUACCCAUUCACUGCUGGGUGGACAGGGGCGUAGGGUAUCGGAAAAGCCGCCCAAAUUUUUCCACUCUGCCCGGGAAUCGAACCUGGGCUCUCUCGGUGGUGAGCCUGGGUUCGAUUCCCGGGCGGAGUGGAAAAAUUUAGUAAUAGUAGUAGUAGUAGUAGUAGUAGUAGUAGUAGUAGUAACACCCAUUCACACACUGGUUAGUCUGUCUGUUACUUAAGCAAUCUCUUUUAGCAAACCAUUCCAACCGCUGUACGUGACCACAUAAAAAAAAAUAAUAAUAAAAUAAAAAAAAAUUAAUAAUGGCAGCCUUUUUUGAGCACAGCCGAGUGACAAGCAACCAACCAAUCGUGUGUGUGUGUGUGUGUGUGUGUGUGUGUGUGUGUGUGUGUGUGUGUGUGUGUGUGUGUGUGUGUGUGUGUGUGUGGAGUCCUCCCUAACAAACAAACAAACAAACAGUGCCAGAUAGAGAGAGAUGGAGGCAAUUUCAACAGACAAGACACAGACACUGGAGGGCAAAACAGUAGCAGACAUUGAAGGAAGAUGACGAAGAAGAAGAAGAAGAAGAAGAUGAGGAGAAAGGAAGAACUGAUGAACAAGAAGGAGAAAAACAAGAACAGUCCAAAACACACCAUUAGGCAUAAAUCUAUAGAGAAACACAUUAGGUCAAGUCCUGUCUGAGUGGUUAAUGAUGUGAAUAUUUUUAUAAUGGAAGAUGGAAGGUUAUUUUUAAGGUAUAUUUAACAAGCCCUAUACAGUACUGGAUGGUGAAGAUAUUUAGACAGACAUAAAAUUGAGUCUUGUUGGUUAGUUAUGUGAAUCUUUUAUAAUGGAAGAUGGAAGGUUAUUUUUAAGGUAUAUUUAACAAGCCCUAUACAGUACUGGAUGGUGAAGAUAUUUAGACAGACAUAAAAUUGAGUCUUGUUGGUUAGUUAUGAGAAUCUUUUUAUAAUGGAAGAUGGAAGGUUAUUUUUAAGGUAUAUUUAACAAGCCCUAUACAGUACUGGAUGGUGAAGAUAUUUAGACAGACAUAAAAUAGAGUCUUGUUGGUUAGUUAUGUGAAUCUUUUUAAUUGGAAGAUCGAAAGUUAUUUACAAAAGGGUGUUAAGAAGUAUAUUUAAAAAGCCCUAUACAGUACUGGAUGGUGAAGAUAUUUAGACAGACAUAAAAUUGAGUCUUGUUGGUUAGUUAUGAGAAUCUUUUUUUAUUGAAAGAUCGAAAGUUAUUUACAAAAGGGUGUUAAGAAAUAUAUAUAGUGAAUCCUAUAGAGUACUCAAUCACACAUACAUUUAAAAACAGGACAUAUGAUCAGGUCCUAUAGAUCGGUUAGUUAAAUGAAGCUUUUGUUUACGGGGAGACUAAAGGAGUUAGUACGAGAAAGGUGUUUUGAAAUAUAUACAGAAUCCUAUAAAGUACUGGUUUGUGAAGAUAUUUAAAGACAGACUUACGAUCAGGUCCUAUAGAUCGGUUAGUUAAAUGAAGCUUUUGUUUACGAAGAGACUAAAGGAGUUAGUACGAGAAAGAUGUUUUGAAAUAUAUACAGAAUCCUAUAAAGUACUGGUUUGUGAAGAUAUUUAAAGACAGACUUACGAUCAGGUCCUAUAGAUCGGUUAGUUAAAUGAAGCUUUUGUUUACGAAGAGACUAAAGGAGUUAGUACAAGAAAGGUGUUUGGAAAUAUAUACAGAAUCCUAUAAAGUACUGGUUUGUGAAGAUAUUUAAAGACAGGCUUAUGAUCAGGUCCUAUAGAUUAGUUAGUUAAAUGAAUCUUUUGUUUACGAAGAGACUAAAGGAGUUAGUACAAGAAAGGUGUUUGGAAGUAUAUACAGAAUCCUAUAAAGUACUGGUUUGUGAAGAUAUUUAAAGACAGACUUACGAUCAGGUCCUAUAGAUCGGUUAGUUAAAUGAAUCUUUUGUUUAUGGAGAGACUAAAGGAGUUAGUACAAGAAAGGUGUUUGGAAAUAUAUACAGAAUCCUAUAAGUAUACUGGACUGUGAGGAAAUUUAAAGACAGACUUAUGAUCAGGUCCUAUAGAAUGGUUAGUUAAAUGAAUCUUUUGUUUAUGGAGAGACUAAAGGAGUUAGUACAAGAAAGGUGUUUGGAAAUAUAUACAGAAUCCUAUAAAGUACUGGUUUGUGAAGAUAUUUAAAGACAGACUUACGAUCAGGUCCUAUAGAAUGGUUAGUUAAAUGAAUCUUUUGUUUACGGAAAGACCGAGAGAAAGUUCUUAUAAAAAGGUUUGGAAAUAUAUACAGAAUCCUAUAAGUACUGGACUGUGAAGAUAUUUAAAGACAGACUUACGAUCAGGUCCUAUAGAAUGGUUAGUUAUAUGAAUCUUUUGUUUAUGGAGAGACCGAGAGAAAGUUCUUAUAAAAAGGUGUUUGGAAGUAUAUACAGAAUCCUAUAAAGUACUGGAUGAUGAAGAUAUUUAAAGACAGACUUAUGAUCAUGUCCUAUAGAUCAGUUAGUUAAAUGAAUCUUUUGUUUAUGGAAAGACCAAGAGAAAGUUAUUAUAAAAAGGUGUUUGGGAAUAUAUACAGAAUCCUAUAAGUACUGGACUAUGAAGAUAUUUAAAGACAGACUUAUGAUCAGGUCCUAUAGAUCGGUUAGUUAAAUGAAUCUUUUGUUUACGGAAAAACCGAGAAAGUCAUCAAGAAAAGGGUGUUUGUAAAUAUAUACAGAAUCCUAUAAAGUACUGGUUUGUGAAGAUAUUUAAAGACAGACUUACGAUCAGGUCCUAUAGAUCGGUUAGUUAUAUGAAUCUUUUGUUUACGGAAAAACCGAGAGAAAGUUCUUAUAAAAAGGUGUUUGGAAAUAUAUACAGAAUCCUAUAAGUGCUGGACUGUGAAGAUAUUUAAAGACAGACUUAUGAUCAGGUCCUAUAGAAUGGUUAGUUAUAUGAAUCUUUUGUUUACGGAAAAACCGAGAGAAAGUCCUCAAGAAAAGGGUGUUUGGAAAUAUAUACAGAAUCCUAUAAAGUACUGGUUUGUGAAGAUAUUUAAGGACAGACUUACGAUCAGGUCCUAUAGAUCGGUUAGUUAAAUGAAUCUUUUGUUUACGGAAAGACCGAGAGAAAGUUCUUAUAAAAAGGUAUUUGGAAAUAUAUACAGAAUCCUAUAAAGUACUGGAUGAUGAAGAUAUUUAAACACAGACUUAUGAUCAGGUCCUAUGUAAACAAAUAGAAGAAAAUGAAGAAGGACGGAAAAGUAGAAGUAUUAAGCAAGUCUUCCGUGUACUAAGACAGAGAUAGAGACAGAGAGAAGGCCAUUGGGGUCGCAGGAAAUCACGGCGCUUAUAUUUAUAGGCGACCAAACACAGAUUCUUGUUUAUUUACGUCGCUUCUCUCUCUCUCUCUCUCUCUCUCUCUCUCUAGCCUGGCGCUUACCUGUCUGCUCACUUUGUUUACCCUAACGACUACAUCAGAAACGACCCACGACAAGGGCUGUAUAGGGGUCGCGCCAAACCUCUGCUGCGCGUGUGUGUGUGUGUGUGUGUGAAUUGACGAACGUACACACACACACACACACACACACAUCAACCAUCUACC